rnacentral:rRNA from 1 species
CGCGGCCUAUCAGCUUGUUGGUGGGGUAAUGGCCUACCAAGGCAUCGACGGGUAGCUGGUCUGAGAGGACGAUCAGCCACACUGGGACUGAGACACGGCCCAGACACCUACGGGAGGCAGCAGUGGGGAAUCUUGCGCAAUGGGCGAAAGCCUGACGCAGCAACGCCGCGUGGGGGAUGAAGGCUCUCGGGUUGUAAACCCCUUUCAGCAGGGACGAAAAUGACGGUACCUGCAGAAGAAGCUCCGGCCAACUACGUGCCAGCAGCCGCGGUAAUACGUAGGGAGCAAGCGUUGUCCGGAUUUAUUGGGCGUAAAGAGCUCGUAGGCGGUUUGGUAAGUCAGAUGUGAAAACUCAGGGCUCAACCCUGAGAGGCCAUCUGAUACUGCCAUGACUAGAGUCCGGUAGAGGAGUGUGGAAUUUCUGGUGUAGCGGUGAAAUGCGCAGAUAUCAGAAGGAACACCAAUGGCGAAGGCAGCACUCUGGGCCGGUACUGACGCUGAGGAGCGAUAGCGUGGGGAGCAAACAGGAUUAGAUACCCUGGUAGUCCACGCCGUAAACGCUGGGCACUAGGUGUGGGACCUUAUCAACGGGUUCCGUGCCGUAGCUAACGCAUUAAGUGCCCCGCCUGGGGAGUACGG